CCUACGGGUGGCAGCAGUAGGGAAUCUUCCACAAUGGACGCAAGUCUGAUGGAGCAACGCCGCGUGAGUGAAGAAGGGUUUCGGCUCUUAAAGCUCUGUUGGUAGUGAAGAAAGGUAGAGGUAGUAACUGUCCUUUAUUUGACUGUAUUUACUUAGAAAGUCACGGCUAACUACGUGCCAGCAGCCGCGGUAAUACGUAGGUGGCAAGCGUUGUCCGGAUUUAUUGGGCGUAAAGCGAGUGCAGGCGGUUCAAUAAGUCUGUUGUGAAAGUCUUCGGCUCAACCGGAGAAUUGCAUCAGAAACUGGUGAACUUGAGUGCAGAAGAGGUGAGCGGAACUCGAUGUGUAGCGGUGGAAUGCGUAGAUAUAUGGAAGAACACCAGUGGCGAAGGCGGCUCUCUGGUCUGCCACUGACGCUGAGGCUCGAAAGCAUGGGUAGCGAACAGGAUUAGAUACCCCUGUAGUC
rnacentral:rRNA from 1 species